rnacentral:rRNA from 1 species
GUGGGGGAUAUUGCACAAUGGGGGAAACCCUGAUGCAGCGACGCCGCGUGAGGGAAGAAGGUUUUCGGAUUGUAAACCUCUGUCCUUGGUGAAGAUAAUGACGGUAGCCAAGGAGGAAGCCACGGCUAACUACGUGCCAGCAGCCGCGGUAAUACGUAGGUGGCAAGCGUUGUCCGGAAUUACUGGGUGUAAAGGGAGCGUAGGCGGGAUCAUAAGUUGAUUGUCAAAUCUAUGGGCUUAACCCAUAGCCGCGAUCAAAACUGUGAUUCUUGAGUGAAGUAGAGGCAGGCGGAAUUCCUAGUGUAGCGGUGAAAUGCGUAAAUAUUAGGAGGAACACCAGUGGCGAAGGCGGCCUGCUGGGCUUUAACUGACGCUGAGGCUCGAAAGCGUGGGUAGCAAACAGGAUUAGAAACCCUAGUAGUCC